rnacentral:rRNA from 1 species
UGGGGAAUUUUUGCGCAAUGGGGGGCAACCCUGACGCAGCGACGCCGCGUGCGGGACGAAGUCAUUCGUGACGUAAACCGCUUUUCAGCGAGGAAGAACCAUGACGGUACUCGCAGAAGAAGCCCCGGCUAACUACGUGCCAGCAGCCGCGGUAAUACGUAGGGGGCGAGCGUUAUCCGGAAUCAUUGGGCGUAAAGCGCGCGCAGGCGGGCUUUCAAGCGGCGGCGUCGAAGCCGGGGGCUCAACCCCCGGAAGCGCCCCGAACUGGAAGCCUCGGAUGCGGCAGGGGGAGGCGGAAUUCCCGGUGUAGC